GUAUUAUGUAUUGUAAACUUCUUUUGUUGGGGAAUAAAGUGUAGGACGUGUCCUAUUUUGUAUGUACCCAACGAAUAAGCAUCGGCUAACUCCGUGCCAGCAGCCGCGGUAAUACGGAGGAUGCGAGCGUUAUCCGGAUUUAUUGGGUUUAAAGGGUGCGUAGGCGGGAGAAUAAGUCAGCGGUGAAAUUUCGAUGCUCAACAUUGAAACUGCCGUUGAAACUGUUUUUCUUGAGGGGAGACGAGGUAUGCGGAAUUCGUAGUGUAGCGGUGAAAUGCAUAGAUAUUACGAAGAACACCGAUAGCGCAGGCAGCAUACCAGGCUUCAACUGACGCUGAGGCACGAAAGUGUGGGAAUCAAACAGGAUUAGAUACCCUGGUAGUCCACACAGUAAACGAUGAUUACUAGUUGUAUGGUUGUAAAAUCAUGUGACUGCGCGAAAGCAUUAAGUAAUCCACCUGGGGAGUACGCCGGCAACGGUGAAACUCAAAGGAAUUGACGGGGGCCCGCACAAGCGGAGGAACAUGUGGUUUAAUUCGAUGAUACGCGAGGAACCUUACCCGGGCUUGAAAUGUAGAGGAAUAAGAUGGAAACGUUUUAGUCAGCAAUGACCUCUAUGUAGGUGCUGCAUGGUUGUCGUCAGCUCGUGCCGUGAGGUGUUGGGUUAAGUCCCGCAACGAGCGCAACCCCUACUGCCAGUUACUAACAGGUUAUGCUGAGGACUCUGGCGGAACUGCCGGUGACAAACCGGAGGAAGGUGGGGAUGACGUCAAGUCAUCAUGGCCCUUAUGUCCAGGGCUACACACGUGCUACAAUGGGUGGUACAAAGCGAUGCGAAACCGCGAGGUCUUAGCGAAGCGCAAAAAGCCAUCCGUAGUUCGGAUUGAAGUCUGAAACCCGACUUCAUGAAGUUGGAAUCGCUAGUAAUCGUACAUCAGCAUGGUACGGUGAAUACGUUCCCGGGCCUUGUACACACCGCCCGUCACACCAUCCGAGUUGGAGGUACCCAAAGCCGGUAGCUUAACCUGCAAAGGAGAGCGCUGUCUAAGGUAAAUUUAGUGAGGAGGGUGAAGUCGUAACAAGGUAGCCGUACUGGAAAGUGCGGCUG
rnacentral:rRNA from 1 species